rnacentral:misc_RNA from 1 species
AUUUUAUUUACUUUUCUCUAUAUUUUUAUUUUGAUGAAAAAGCUUUUGAAUUCAAAGUAAAUUUUUAGUUUAACCUUUAGAAAAAAUAAAUCUUUAGAAAGUGUUUAGUAUUAUACAGUUUCAUAUUAAAUUAAACGUUGUUAAUAGUAAACAUAAUUUUAGAUUUUGAGUUGAAAGUUUUUUAUAUGGCUAAAUAUGUAUUUUAAAUCUAAUAGAACGGCAAUUGCAAUUUUUAAAAUUGCAAUUGCAUUGUAAAUAUACCCUAACAUCGAAAUUGACAAAUGUUUUAUUUUU